rnacentral:rRNA from 1 species
ACCUGGUUGAUCCUGCCAGUAGUCAUAUGCUUGUCUCAAAGAUUAAGCCAUGCAUGUCUAAGUAUAAAGGUUAUACAAUGAAACUGCGAAUGGGUCAUUCAAACAGUUAUAGUUUAUUUGAUAUUCGAAUUUAUAUUCAUAAUGGAUAACCGUAGUAAUUCUAGAGCUAAUACAUGCGUUACGGGGGACUUUUUGGAACCCCAGUAUUUAUUAAUUCUUCUUUAAACAGGGGCUCGCAAGAGGUGUUGUGGUGAUUCAUGAUAACUGAUCGAAUCGCUGGGUCGUACCCGCGAUAACUCAUUCAAGUUUCUGCCCCAUCAGCUUGAUGGUAGUGUAUUGGACAACCAUGGCUUUCACGGGUAACGGGGGAUUAGGGUUCGAUUCCGGAGAGGGAGCCUGAUAAACGGCUACCACUUCUACGGAAGGCAGCAGGCGCGUAAAUUAUCCAAUCCUGACUUAGGGAGGUAGUGACAAGAAAUAAUGAACUGGGGUUUAUCCCGGGGUUACAAUGGGCUUGAUUUGCAAACCUUAUUUUAGCGAGGAACAAUUGGAGGGCAAGUCUGGGGGCAGCAGCCGCGGUAAUUCCAGCUCCAAUAGUGUAUAUUAAAGUUGUUGCAGUUAUACAAAGCUCGUAGUUGGACUUCUGGAGGUGGAGACAGGCGGGUGGCUACGGCUGCUGCCGGUCGCUUCCUUCAUCCUUCUGUUAACGUUGAUCGGGAUUGAUUUUUCGACCUCGGGCUCAGAUAUUUUACCUUAUUUUUGAGCAAAUUAUAGUGUUUCGGGCAGGCGUGCGCCGGAAUACAUUAGCAUGGAAUAAUCGAAUAGGACCGUGUUCCUUAGUAAUGGUUUCUGGAGGGGCAUGGUAAUGAUUAAUCAGAAUAGUUGAGGGGGCUAAAGUAUUUAAUUUCUAGAGGUGAAAUUCUUUGAAAUAUUAAAGACUAACGUAUGCGAAAGCAUUCGCCACGAAUUUUUCUAUUAAUCAAGAACGAAAGUUAGGGGAUCAAAGACGAUCAGAUACCGUCCUAGUCUUAACCAUAAACUAUCCGACUAGGGAUCGGGGGACGUCCCCAUUCCCCCUUCGCCCCCUUACGAGAAAUCAAAGUCUUUGGGUUCUGGGGGUAGUAUGGUCGCAAGCCUGAAACUUAAA